UACGGAGGAUGCGAGCGUUAUCCGGAUUUAUUGGGUUUAAAGGGUGCGCAGGCGGCCUGUUAAGUCAGCGGUAAAAAUUCGGGGCUCAACCCCGGCCUGCCGUCGGAACUGGGUGCCUUGAGUGGGCGAGAAGUAUGCGGAAUGCGUGGUGUAGCGGUGAAAUGCAUAGAUAUCACGCAGAACCCCGAUUGCGAAGGCAGCAUACCGGUGCACAACUGACGCUGAGGCACGAAAGCGUGGGGAUCGAACAGG
rnacentral:rRNA from 1 species